UACAGAGGUCUCAAGCGUUGUUCGGAUUCAUUGGGCGUAAAGGGUGCGUAGGUGGCGCUGUAAGUCGGGUGUGAAAUUUCGGAGCUUAACUCCGAAACUGCAUUCGAUACUGCGGUGCUUGAGGACUGGAGAGGAGACUGGAAUUCCUGGUGUAGCGGUGAAAUGCGCAGAUAUCAGGAGGAACACCGGUGGCGAAGGCGGGUCUCUGGGCAACAACUGACGCUGAGGUGCGAAAGCGUGGGGAGCGAACGGG
rnacentral:rRNA from 1 species